UACGUAGGGACCAAGCGUUGUUCGGAUUUACUGGGCGUAAAGGGCGCGUAGGCGGCUGCUCAAGUCGAAUGUGAAACCUCGAGGCUUAACCUCGAGCCUGCAUUCGAUACUGGGCGGCUAGAGUCUGGUAGGGGGAUCUGGAAUUCCUGGUGUAGCGGUGGAAUGCGCAGAUAUCAGGAGGAACACCGGUGGCGAAGGCGGGAUCCUGGGCCAGUACUGACGCUGAGGAGCGAAAGCGUGGGGAGCAAACAGG
rnacentral:rRNA from 1 species